UCUCUCUGAAUCUGCGAACGGCUCCGCAAACCAGUUGUAAACUAUAGCAAGCAAGCCCGGGUCUGGUCUUCACGGGUCAGGCUUGGGUAACACGGAUAACCCUGGUAAUUCUGAGGCUAAUACGAGAACGUAACCCCUGGCUAACCGGGCAACUGGAAGGCUGGGAAACGUGUACUAGAUCGCGAGGAUGAGACCGGGAAAGGAUGCACGUUUGGACCGCGCUAACAAGGAUCAGGUUGCCGACCUGAAGGUGGCCUGGCCCUAGCGGCUCUUGCAAUGUGCUUCUGACCUAUCAACUAGAUGGCAGCGUAACGGACAUGCUAUGGUGACAACGGGUACAGAGGAUUAGGGUUCGAUCCUGGAGAGUGGGCCUGAGAGAUU
rnacentral:rRNA from 1 species